GGCGAAUGGGUGAGUAUCGCGUAUGCAACCUACCUUUAACCGGGGAAUAGCUCCGAGAAAUCGGAAUUAAUACCCCAUAAUAUCUUAAUAACACAUGUUAUAGAGAUUAAAGCUUCGGCGGUUAAUGAUGGGCAUGCGUGACAUUAGCUUGUUGGUGAGGUAACGGCUCACCAAAGCAACGAUGUCUAGGGGGUCUUAAAGGAUGAUCCCCCACACUGGUACUGAGACACGGACCAGACUCCUACGGGAGGCAGCAGUGGGGAACAUUGGGCAAUGGGUGAAAGUCUGACCCAGCCAUGCCGCGUGCAGGAAGAAUGCCUUAUGGGUUGUAAACUGCUUUUGUAUAGGAAGAAACCCCCGAUCGUGAUCGGGGCUGACGGUACUAUACGAAUAAGGAUCGGCUAACUCCGUGCCAGCAGCCGCGGUAAUACGGAGGAUCCAAGUGUUAUCCGGAUUUAUUAGGUUUAAAGGGUGCGUAGGCGGAAUUAUAAGUCAGUGGUGAAAUCCUACAGCUUAACUGUAGAACUGCCAUUGAAACUAUUAUUCUUGAGUAUAGUUGAGGUAGGCGGAACGUGUUAUGUAGCGGUGAAAUGCAUAGAUAUAACACAGAACACCAAUUGCGUAAGCAGCUUACUAAACUACUACUGA
rnacentral:rRNA from 1 species